rnacentral:sRNA from 1 species
UGGUCCUGGAGGCUCACAGGACAGAGAAAGCAGUGGCUGGGCAUGGUGAGAAAAACCUCCAGGUCUGGAGUCAGUGGCCUGGACUGAGGAGGGUCUCCUUGCCUUCAGGGUCUGUAUCCAGAGCCCAGAUUAGCCGAGGCUUCCCAGGCUGCAGGGUGGUGGAAACCUGGAGACACUGGGCAGGCAGGCAGGCAAGCCAUCUUCUUACGAUGCCAAUGGAGGGCGUUGGCCUGUGUUAAGUGAUGUCCUUUCACUGGACAACCCGAUGUCACCUCACUUCUGUGACAGUGGAUUUCCAGCUCUGUCUCCUAGAGAUGUGACCCGUGCCAGCUGGGCUUAUGCCUCAAGCUGGCACUGGGGGGGGGGGGCUGCCAGUAGAGAGGACACCUAGAGGCACUUAACACACAUGGACAAAACGAAAAGGACAGCCUACCCUAUCCAACAGGAGUGGAUAUGCUUGGUCACACAUCUUCCACCUUAGAUCACAGCCCAGCCGAAACAGGAAGCAAGGGACCACAUAUCUCAGGGAUCUUAGGAAGUACCAUUCCUGCAACUGUUUUGCCUCCUUUUGUAGCCCAGCUCCUGGCUUGCAUGAGCUCAGAUGUCCCUAAUCAGUGGGCCCUUACCUCAGCUCCUCUGCCCUGAAGAGAGAGGUUGAGCCCGGGACAUAGCAUCAGACUUAGACAAGGAUCUAAAUCGACUUUGAAUUUCAGGAAAAAAAACUGGAGAAAACCAAGUUCCUGAGGUGUAGCACCGGGAAGCGUUGCUUGGAAAUACUAGUGAGAUGUCAGGAGACAGUAUUUUGGAAACAGGAAACUGGAUCUGUAAACAUUGUCAGUGAACAGGUAACCCCCCAGGGAGAGGAGGAGGCAGAGGAGUCUUUGCUGAGUCUCAGCUCUCGCUAGAAAAAUAGGAUCGACACACGGUGUUAGGGUUGGCUAAAUCAAGUCAGAGCUCAGAAAACAAAUGCUAGGGCAAUUCUCGUCAAUACGGCAAAUGGCAAAUGGAGAAAAAGAAUACUUAGUGCCGUUAGCAAUAGACAGAAGCUGGCGGCACCCAAGCAUCCAUCGUGGCUGAUAGGCAAAGGGAAGGCCCGGGCACACAAUGAAGACUUGCUCAUCCGUUCAAAGGCAAAGCAUUCUGGUAUACGCUACAGCGUGCAAGGACCUUGAAGACAUUGUGCUAAGCGAAACAAGCCAGCCGCAGGAAAGGUGCCAUCGAUUUCAUCCACAGGGUUCCUGCUGUCCUCAAACCACCGACACAGAAAGCAGAGAGGUGGCUGCAGGGGCCGGGAAAGUAGAGAGGUGGCUGCAGGGGCCGGGAAAGUAGAGAGAUGUCAACGUUUAAUGGGGGCGGAGCUUCAGUUUGGGGAGAUGGGGCAGUCUAGUAAUGGCAGUUAUUAUAUAGCCAUGUGAAGGAUUCUGCCACCCGGCUGGUCACCCGAAAGUGACUCAAAUGGUGGAUUUUGCCUCUAUAUGUGUUUUACCACUCAUGAAGAAUAAACUCGUAACAGCAGCCUGGCCUGGGUUAGGGUGGGAUGGGGGGCCAGCUGUGAGGCCAAGGGCCACCCUGCUCUUAGUCCACUGUGACUUGAGACCUGGGAAUUCUCUCGGGUUGGCAGGGGGAUGCAGUCUUACAUGCAUUCGCUGUACACUCUGGAAGCCUGGUGAUGUGUAACUAUUGCUCCCCUUAGAGCAGUGGUUCUUAACCUUCUUAGUGCUGCGACCCUUUGAUACCUCUCCUCACACUCUGAUGACCCCCACCACCACCAUAAAAUUACUUUUGUUGCUGCUUCAUAGCUGGCAUUUUGCUACUGUUAUGAAUCGUAAUGUAAGUAUUUCGGCGCUAGAGGUUGGCCAGAGGGGUUGAGACCCUCAGGUUGAGAACCACUGUCUUAGAACUCAUACCUGGGUGACUGCACCAGGAAGACAUAGUGUAGGAAACACUAGCUUCCCAGAACUUCCUAGGGAAGAAGCACCCUCUAGGGAAGGAACCCAUGGCCUGCUAGCCACCAGAGCCAGCAUGGGUGUGUCAAAGAACAGAGGCUGCACUGAUCUCAAGCCAAGGGCCAGCCAAGGCUUCCUCUUAGCCUCAGAGACAUCUUUGGAUAGAGCCUUGGGUUUGCUGGGAGGUAAGGAGCAGUGUCUCCCAGGCCAAUGUAAAAGAGACCUAAUACCCCUUGUCUCCUGAAAUGUCUUCCUGCUAGCAACAAGGACGAGCAGCUGGUUCCUUGUGUCUGAGGGCCCCAUGGACACUACAGAGUCAAGGACAGCCUCAGACCAAGACUUCGGCUCUACCCCGCUGUCCUGGGCCAAGUACCUCCCGAAUGCCACUGUAGAUUGUGGUGAUGGUGCUGUUCCUCCUCACAGGGGUCUCAGGACAGCUGCAUCCUGGGAUUGGAAGCCAGAGGUAGGUCUGUUUGGACUAUCCUGACCUGAACCCGUGGGAGGUAUCAUCCCUCUGCUCCACUGGGCCUAACCGGACCCAGUAAAACCCCGUCAUGAGCCCUGCAGCCACUGUGUGACCACCCUGCCCCCUAGUGGCAUGACCUACACCUCCCUGCACCGGCAAUCAUCCAGUUCCGUUGGGUUUUAUUAUCUCAACCAUGCAGCCUUGGUGCGCUUCCUGCCACCCUGGAGAGACAGAAAAACUGAGAUCGGAGGGUUCUUUGAAGUAUAACUCCCGUUCAGUGCUACCCAGCACGCGACCCCUCACUGCCUUCCAAAGACUUCGUGCAUCUCAGGAAUCCAGAGAGCCCAUCUGGUGACAGCGGACCCUCGGGUACAAGAAGCGGAGUAUACGCGGGCGGAACUGGAACCCGACGGGAGGGCAGGGGAGGGCGUGCAGGACUCAGUACAGCCUGGAGCAGCAGACAAGCUCCCUCAUCCCACCCUCGGCUCCCCGGGGCACAGGAAGAGCACACUUGGUUGGUUGUCAGCCGCUGAGAUCUCACCAUCUGUGCCACACACGGCAGCAACAAUGGCUGCUGUGAAGUGGGUCAAGAAGUCUGGCGCUCAACUGGACGCUGGUGGCACGAGAGACUAGAGGAUGUCACCAACCCCGCCUGACCACAUUUCCCCUGACUACAGCUAUAUGUAGAGAGAGAGAUCGAAAGAUAACCAGUGUCAACAUCUGGCCACGUCUGAGCGGGAACCCCGGCACACACAUUUCUCCAGGCAAGUGCACGUGGAGGGAAAAACAAAAAUCCCGGCACCCGAAAAUAUUCUAAUCAGUGUCCCGACUCAGUCCUGGGUCCGAGGAAAUCAAACCAAAGCAGCAUCUUGUUCAUAGACUAAUGAUUGGGGCACGCUUCCUACCGCAGGCACCGACGCAGCUCACCGGAGAGUGGGCUGAGGAAAGUCAACUGUCAAGCGUUCCUUAGUUUUACUAUCUGUGGGGAAAUACGUGCGACUGAAACAUGACAGACAUGGACUCUACCUCUUGGCUCUAGGACACCGAGUACUGCCUGUACCCAAAGGCCGAUGUACUACUACCCAGCUGGCUACGUGCCCUACUACCCAUGGCCUCCCAGGGCCCAGCUUCCUGCUGCUGCCUUUCUCCUGGCUGCACUUGCCUCACUCCCAGUAGGGCAGGGAGGAGCUCUGGAUCUGUCCCACCCCAGGCCUUUCACCCAUGCACCACAGAACGGAAAGAAAAAAAUCAUCUUUAUUGAGGUGCAAUUCACGGGCAAGAAACACACGGUCACGUGAUUGAGGCUGCUGCACCCGAGGACAUUCUGCCUGUCGUGAGUGUUCCCAUUUCCCAUUUAACCCAAGAGUCCAGUCCUCCCCAGUGUCCUCUGCUAGUCAGAGGCUUGCUGCCGGAACAGAGUCUUGCCACUGGACAGGGCACACAGGAAGGACCCGGGCAUCCUACCAACAGCACCAGGAUUCUGAAGAGUCGCCCAGAGCUCCAGUCACCACAGAGGUCAUGGGAUUGUCCUGCUGCACAUCUGGGUUGCUGCUAGACGUGAGCAGUUCCGAAUAAAAAUGCAAGAGGGUUGUAGGGACAUGUUUUGCUUCUCCCCAGAAGGGACUGUGUGGGGGAGACAGGGAGUUAGCACAGUUGACUUUGCAAAGCAGAUGUACCACUUGCCACCCCGUGUCGUCGCCGGCACUUAGCGCUGUCUGGUUUUAAGCAUUAGCCUCUCUUGAAGGCAUGCCGUGGUCCCCCCACUGAUUGGUGAGGGACGAUCGUGAUAUUAGUCACACUUUCGCAUGCUCAGGGCUCAUCUGUUCAGAUCGUGCACAUUUUACUUUUAUUACACUUGCCCGGCGUGUGCACGUGCUUGCCACCACACGCAUGUGUAGGUCAGCAGACAAUGUACAGGAGUCGGUGCCUCUACUUGGGUCCCAGGAAUCUAGUGCAACUUGACAAGCGUGCUAACGGUUGUCUUUUUUCCCAAUGCUGGCCCAGAUCUUUCGAUCUUAAUUUAAAAACUUAGUCUUUAAGCUACGAGGGUUUUUAGGUAUUCUGAAUACAUACCCUAUAUGGAUAUUUUCUCCGAGGUGUGUCUUGCUUUGUUGAUCAUUUAAUGGUAUCUUUUGAUGCUCAGACUGAUAAUUGUAUCUUUUGGAGACUUUGCUCCCUGGAUCCUUAAUGCCUGCCUAAAGGAAGGACUCUUACCCUUGGCAUCCUAUCUGGGCAGAUGUGGUCUCCUUUCUAACCCCAGAACUUAGGACAACGGCUUGGAUGUUGAAUGUCCCCUGAAGGCCCACAUGUUGAAGGCUUUAUUCCCGGUGUGAUAUUACAGAAAGAUGAUGGUACUUUUCUUUCCUCUGUGUAGCCCUGACUAUCCUGUAACUCACUUGGUAGACCAGGCUGGCCUCGAACACACAGACAUCCACCUGCCUCUGCCUCUGUAAGUGCUGGUAUGUUCCACCAUACAUACCUAGCUGUUGAUGGUACGUAUAAAGGAAAGGACCUAGUGGGAAGUCUUUAGGUUACCAAGUGCACAACCUUGACCUUGAAGGGGAUCCAGCAAUUUCCUGUUUCCUUUGGUUACUGGCUGUGACGUGAGCGGCUGUGUUGUUUUCCCAGCUCCUGCCAUGGCCCUCUGCCUCACUACAGAACCAAAGCAAUAAGGCCAAGUCACUAUAUCACUCAAGAUAAACCUCUCCUUUUGAUCCGCUGAUUGUCGCAGGACUUCUAUUCAGUGGUAAGGAGGCACUUAGGACUCCUUAUGACGAGCUCCCUCAUUCCCGGUAUCCAUUUCAGUUCCCACAGGGACCUCUGUCGUUCUUGAACUCCAGGCCGUCUUUCCUCAGCGAGACACUUGUGCAGGGUCAGUCCUUUAUAGAUAAUCUUCAUGUCCUGUGGUCUCUAUAUGCCACAUGCCCCCUUUUUUUUCUCUUUAAGACAGAGUUUCAUGUAACCCUAGGCUGACCUGGAAUUCACCGCGUAGCUAAGGUUGACUAUAAACUUUAUUGUUCGUUUGAGACAGGGUCUUUUUACACAUUCCUGGCUGUCCUGGAACUCAUUACAUAGACCAGAGUGGCCUCAGACUCACAGAAAGUCGCCUGCCUCUGCUUCCCGAGUGCUGGGAUUAAAGGUAUGAACCACACCACGCAUGGCAUUUAGCCUUUUCUUUUAAACCAUGAGUUUUUGGUCCUUGGUCCUCUUGCCUCUACUUCUUGAGUCUACUGGGAUCGGCAAUGGAUUAGGGUUUGUUUUUUUUUUUUUUUUUUCCACCGUGAACUGAAGUUUUCAGCAAAGCAAAAAACCACACAUGCUGGUGUCGAGGACUACACAAGAGCGGCCCACUGAUUACAGCCUCAACGUUGUGGCAUGCUGGAAUGUUGCAGAUCCAGGGUCGAUUUCUCUCCGGCUAUGUUUAGUUCCCUGAAGAGCAGUCAUUGCUGGCUGCUGAGUCUGACCCAACAACACUUUGGAUUAAAUAAAACCUUUACAAUGUA